AUUCCAGCUCCAAUAGCGUAUAUUAAAGUUGUUGCAGUUAAAAAGCUCGUAGUUGGAUUUCUGGUUGGAGCGACCGGUCGGGCAUUGAUUUGUCUGCACUGGAGUCGGUUCUGGCCAUCCUCUUGGAAAGUGCGUCUGUCAUUAAGUUGUCGGGCGUAUGAUCCAGGUCUUUUACUGUGAAAAAAUUAGAGUGUUUAAAGCAGGCCUUCGCCUUGAAUACAUUAGCAUGGAAUAAUAAGAUAGGACUUUGGUCUAUUUUGUUGGUUUGCAGACCGAAGUAAUGAUUAAUAGGGAUAGUUGGGGGUAUUUAUAUUCCAAUGUCAGAGGUGAAAUUCUUAGAUUUUUGGAAGAUAAACUUAUGCGAAAGCAUUUACCAAGGAUGUUUUCAUUA
rnacentral:rRNA from 1 species